GGGCGUGUGGUCUAGUGGUAUGAUUCACGCUUUGGGUGCGAGAGGCCCUGGGUUCAAUUCCCAGCUCGCCCC
rnacentral:tRNA from 1 species